GCCUCCCGGGACACGCUUCUGAACUGGACCCUGAGGGAUGGUGUUUCCUACAAGCAAACUGUUGAUAUGUUCUGGGGUGGCUGAUGGAAGGGGUGCUUGGUGGGAGAUCAAACCUGCAUCAGGGAGCAGCUGCUCUCCUGACUCCGCAUGGGGCUCAGAGCACCUGGCAGCUUAAGAAACCUCCUCUUUGUGCUGGUGUUGAAGGAUGUGCUCUAGUCAACAGGAGUGAAGAAGUAUGAUUAUAAAAGAGCAGACAGAUGGCAGUGCUGCGAAACUUCAGCAAGCAUGACAGCCAACCCAACCCUGGAUCUCCACAAGAAUGGUGACCUCUGCAACCACAGGCCAGUGGGCAGUCCCCAUGACGUACCAGGCGGACCACGCAGGGGGCAGAGUCUCCUUCCACGACGGCAUCUGAAGGAAGUUCAAAAGGAACGGGUCACAUAUGAACUGUUAUUGCUCAUAAAGGAAAUAACUGUUACACAUAACUGUUACACUCUGGCUUCCUCCUUACCAGCUUCAGAAGCUUCAUUAAAUGUAAUUACUAGGAUAUUCACUAUGUCAAAAACAGGAGCUAGAGCUAUUGUCUUAAAAGAAAUACAUCUAAAACGGUGCAGUCACUUUGGAAAACAGUCUGGCAGGUAUUCAAAGGGUUAAACAUAGAGUCAUCCUAAGAUCCAGCAAUUCCACUCCCAAGUAUAUUACCAAGAGAAUUAAAAAUGUAUGUACUUUGUGAGCUUUGCAUACAAAUGUUCGUGACAGCAUUAUUCAUGAUAGCCAAGAAACAGAAGCAAUCCAAAGAGCCAUCAGUUGAGAAUAGAUAAACAAAAUGGGGUAUAUCCGUACAACGGAAUAUUAUUGUUCAGUUGUAAAAGGGAAUGAAACACUGAUGCGUGCUACAACAUGGAUGAACCUUAUAAACAUGCUUAGUGAUAGAAACCAGACACAGAAAGCCACAUACUGUAUCACUCUAUUUAUAUGAAAAGUCCAAAUUAGGCAAGCCCGGAAAGAUAGAAAGUAGAUUAGUGGUUGCCAGAGGACAGGGGGAGAGGAGAAUGGAAGUGACUGCUAGCAAAUGUAGGGUUUCUUUCUGGGUGAGGAAAAUGCUCUAGAACUAGAUAGUGAUGGUUGUACGACUAUGAGAUUAUACUAAAAACCACUAAAUUAUGCAUUUUAGGUGGUUUAUGGCAUGCAAAUGAUACUCCCCAAAACCUGCUAUAAAAAAGAAAGAAAUAGUCCCCAAAUGCUAAUACAAUGGUUUUGGGGUAGUUCGGCUAGGUGCCAAUUUUUAUUUUUACUUUUCUGGGUUUUUUUUUUUUUAAGAUUUUUUUUUUUAUUUGACAGAGAUAGA